rnacentral:lncRNA from 1 species
UUUAACCAAGAACUGACACACUUCGUUGCUUCUGCCAAGUUUCGGGAAGAUCAGAGAAUAAGAAAUAGGAUCACUAUACAUAAGAGAUAAAACAGUUGUUCAAAAAUGUAACGUUGGACAUUCGUUUUUUUCACAUAGCUUUGUUGUUUUAAUCCUCAAAUAUACUAGAUAUUACUUAGCAUAUGACCAAGAGCUAUAAGAACAUAAAGGAAAACAUAUAC